GAUGAACGCUGGCGGCGUGCCUAAUACAUGCAAGUCGAGCGAACCACUUCGGUGGUGAGCGGCGAACGGGUGAGUAACACGUAGGUGAUCUGCCCAUCAGACGGGACAACGAUUGGAAACAAUCGCUAAUACCGGAUAGGACGAAAGUUUAAAGGUGCUUCUGGCACCGCUGAUGGAUGAGCCUGCGGCGCAUUAGCUAGUUGGUAGGGUAAAGGCCUACCAAGGCGACGAUGCGUAGCCGACCUGAGAGGGUGAACGGCCACACUGGGACUGAGACACGGCCCAGACUCCUACGGGAGGCAGCAGUAGGGAAUCUUCGGCAAUGGGCGAAAGCCUGACCGAGCAACGCCGCGUGAAUGAUGAAGGCCUUCGGGUUGUAAAAUUCUGUUAUAAGGGAAGAACGACUUUAGUAGGAAAUGGCUAGAGUGUGACGGUACCUUAUGAGAAAGCCACGGCUAACUACGUGCCAGCAGCCGCCGUAA
rnacentral:rRNA from 1 species